rnacentral:tmRNA from 1 species
CCUCUUCCCAACCCGGCUAAGACCGCCUAUAUAAAGGGCGUCGGGCAACCGACUAUGGCGAUAAACGCUGCGUGGAAUAGACGUUACGGACCCGGGGGCGGUACCCGGCGUCUCCACCAUUUCCGGCCCGCGUACCUGGGACGGCUUCUGGGGACGAAAUAGGAUCGACGUGCGUAAUAAAGACCCAGUUUUCGCUCGGUAUGGUUCCGCCGUCAUCGGGCUAAACUCAGAAGUGCCAACGACAAUCGUGUAGCACUCGCUGCCUAAUUAAUUAGGCAAGCGCGGUUCGGGGGGCACCGGGCAACAGAAGCCCCCCACU